CAACGAAGAGUUUGAUCCUGGCUCAGGACUAACGCUGGCGGCGUGCCUAACACAUGCAAGUCGAACGAGAAAGCGGUAGCAAUAUCGUGAGUAAAGUGGCGAACGGGUGAGUAACACGUAACCAAUCUGCCUUGAAAUGGAGGAAAACUGAGGGAAACUUUAGCUAACCCCCCAUAAUGUGAUUUUGACGCAUGUCGAGAUCAUUAAAAAUUUAUUGUUUCAAGAAGAGGUUGCGUCUGAUUAGCUAGUUGGCGGGGUAACAGCCCACCAAGGCUACGAUCAGUAGCUGGUCUGAGAGGAUGAUCAGCCACACUGGGACUGAGAUACGGCCCAGACUCCUACGGGAGGCAGCAGUGAGGAAUAUUGCGCAAUGGGCGAAAGCCUGACGCAGCAACGCCGCGUGUAGGAUGAAAUCCUUCGGGAUGUAAACUACUGUUAGAGGGGAAGAAAUCCCGGUUACGCCGGGAGUGACGGUACCCUCAGAGAAAGCCACGGCUAACUCUGUGCCAGCAGCCGCGGUAAUACAGGGGUGGCAAGCGUUGUCCGGAAUUACUGGGUGUAAAGGGUGCGUAGGCGGAUCGGUAAGUCAGUGGUCAAAUCCUAUAGCUUAACUAUAGACUAUCCAUUGAUACUGUCGAUCUUGAGUGCGAGAGAGAUGAGUGGAAUUCCAAGUGUAGCGGUGAAAUGCGUAGAGAUUUGGAAGAACACCAGUAGCGAAGGCGGCUCAUUAGCUCGUAACUGACGCUGAGGCACGAAAGCAUGGGUAGCAAACAGGAUUAGAUACCCUGGUAGUCCAUGCCCUAAACGAUGAGGACUAGGUAUCGGUAAUUUAUUAUCGGUGCCGCAGCUAACGCAUUAAGUCCUCCACCUGGGGAAUACGAUCGCAAGAUUGAAACUCAAAGGAAUUGACGGGGGCCCGCACAAGCAGUGGAGCAUGUGGUUUAAUUCGACGCAACGCGAAGAACCUUACCUGGGCUCGAAAUGCUAGUGACAUUCCAUGAAAGUGGACUUCCCGCAAGGGACGCUAGUAUAGGUGCUGCAUGGCUGUCGUCAGCUCGUGUCGUGAGAUGUUGGGUUAAGUCCCGCAACGAGCGCAACCCUUGUCUUUAGUUGCGACCAUUUAGUUGAGCACUCUAAAGAGACUGCCGACGAUAAGUCGGAGGAAGGUGGGGAUGACGUCAAGUCAUCAUGGCCCUUACGUCCAGGGCUACACACGUGCUACAAUGGCAGGUACAGAGGGCAGAACCGCAAGGUGAAGGAAAUCCCUAAAAACCUGCCUCAGUUCGGAUUGAAGGCUGCAACUCGCCUUCAUGAAGCUGGAAUUGCUAGUAAUCGCUGAUCAGCACGCAGCGGUGAAUACGUUCCCGGGCCUUGUACACACCGCCCGUCAAGCCAUGGAAGUUGGUAGCACCCAAAGUAGUCUAGCAAGUAGACUCCAAAGGUGAGACCAGUAACUGGGGCUAAGUCGUAACAAGGUAGCCGUACCGGAAGGUGCGGCUGGAUCACCUCCUUUCU
rnacentral:rRNA from 1 species